CUUUGGCUUACUGUAAAUUUCUUUAGUUAAGAGGAAAUAUCUCAAAACAUGGAAGAAAUGUGGAAUUAUGUGGCAUUAAAUUUUAAAUGUCUCUGAGCUGCCUUUAUUCUUGUUUUCUGGAAUUUUUUGGGAACUCCCCUUUAGAUAGAUGUUGACAAAUAGCUAAUUGAGAAUUGUGUUUACCUGGAUUGUUGACUUCCACAGUCUAGAACCUGCCUUAAUGAUAUGUUACCAACUCCCUUUUCAAUGUGGAAAUUAAAUCAUUUACUUCUAAGAAAAUGUUUGAUCUGUGAGAAUUAUGAUAUUCUUCACAUAAUUAUCAAGAAAUAUAUCAAGACAAUGUGCCUCAUGUAUUUGAUAUUUGUUGUCUUGGUUUAAAACUGCA
rnacentral:misc_RNA from 1 species